UACAGAGGGUGCAAGCGUUGUCCGGAAUCAUUGGGCGUAAAGAGCGUGUAGGCGGCCACUUAAGUCCUGCGUGAAAUCUUGCGGCUCAACCCCGGGAGGCGGGCGGAUACUGUCGGGCUAGAGUCCGGAAGAGGCGAGUGGAAUUCCUGGUGUAGCGGUGAAAUGCGCAGAUAUCGGGAAGAACACCCGUGGCGAAGGCGGUUCUCUGGGACGGUACUGACACUGAGACGCGAAAGCGUGGGGAGCGAACAGG
rnacentral:rRNA from 1 species